GCUUCCUACGGGACGCAGCAGUAGGGAAUAUUGGGCAAUGGGCGCAAGCCUGACCCAGCAACGCCGCGUGAAGGAAGAAGGCUUUCGGGUUGUAAACUUCUUUUCUCAGGGACGAAGCAAGUGACGGUACCUGAGGAAUAAGCCACGGCUAACUACGUGCCAGCAGCCGCGGUAAUACGUAGGUGGCAAGCGUUAUCCGGAUUUACUGGGUGUAAAGGGCGUGUAGGCGGGGACGCAAGUCAGAUGUGAAAACUACGGGCUCAACCUGUGGCCUGCAUUUGAAACUG
rnacentral:rRNA from 1 species